rnacentral:rRNA from 1 species
GACGAACGCUGGCGGCGUGCCUAAUACAUGCAAGUCGAGCGGACGAUUCAAAAGCUUGCUUUUGNAUCGUUAGCGGCGGACGGGUGAGUAACACGUGGGCAACCUGCCUGUAAGACUGGGAUAACUUCGGGAAACCGAAGCUAAUACCGGAUAAGACCUUUGCUCGCAUGAGUGAAGGUUGAAAGAGGGUUUUUGCUCUCACUUACGGAUGGGCCCGCGGCGCAUUAGCUAGUUGGUGAGGUAACGGCUCACCAAGGCGACGAUGCGUAGCCGACCUGAGAGGGUGAUCGGCCACACUGGGANUGAGACACGGCCCAGACUCCUACGGGAGGCAGCAGUAGGGCAAUCUUCCGCAAUGGACGAAAGUCUGACGGAGCAACGCCGCGUGAGCGAAGACAGGCCUUCGGGUCGUAAAGCUCUGUUGUUAGGGAAGAACAAGUAACGUAGUAACUGGCGUUACGAUGACGGUACCUAACGAG